rnacentral:rRNA from 1 species
CACGCCGUAAACGUUGUGUACUAGGUGUAGGAGGUAUCGACCCCUUCUGUGCCGCAGCUAACGCAUUAAGUACACCGCCUGGGGAGUACGCGCGCAAGCGUGAAACUCAAAGGAAUUGACGGGGGCCCGCACAAGCGGUGGAGCAUGUGGUUUAAUUCGAGGCAACGCGAAGAACCUUACCCAGACUUGACAUCUAGGAAAGGUCCUGGAAACAGGAUCGUGCCCGCAAGGGAAUCCUAAGACAGGUGU